rnacentral:ncRNA from 1 species
CUUGUUCCAGAGAUUAAGCGAUGUAUGUCUAAGUACAUACCUUAAAACGCUGAAAGCGAGAAUGGCUCAUUAAAUCAGCUAUGGUUCCCUAGAUCAUAUACACUACAUGGAUAACUGUGGUAAUUCUAGAGCACCCGCAAGGAAACGGGUGCAUUUAUUAGAACAGAACCGACCGGGGGCAGUUCCGGCUGUCUCUGUUGAAUUCAGUGAUGACUAUGGAUAGCUCUAAUGAUCACAAUCGGUCUUGUGUCGGCGACGGAUCUUUCAAAUAUGUCUGCCCUAUCAAUUUGUUGGUAGGUGAUCAGCCUACCAUGAUAAUAACGGGUUAAUGGGGAAUCAGGGCUUAAUUUUGGAGAGGGAACCUGAGAAAUGGUGACCACAUCCUAGGUCGGCAGCGGACGAGGAAAUUACCUACCCCCAUCAUGGGGAAGUAGUGAUGAAAAAUACGAAUAAGGGACUCAAUUAAGGCUCCGUAAUCCUAAUGAGUACAAUUUAAGUCCUUGAACAAGGACCAAUUGGAUUGUAAAUCUGGUGCCAGUAGCCGCGUUAGCUCUCAAGCUCCAAAAG